UACGAAGGGGCUAGCGUUGCUCGGAAUCACUGGGCGUAAAGGGUGCGUAGGCGGGUCUUUUAAGUCAGGGGUGAAAUCCUGGAGCUCAACCCCAGAACUGCCUUUGAUACUGAAGAUCUUGAGUCCGGGAGAGGUGAGUGGAACUGCGAGUGUAGAGGUGAAAAUUCGUAGAUAUUCGCAAAGAACACCAGUGGCGAAGGCGGCUCACUGGCCCGGUACUGACGCUGAGGCACGGAAAGCGUGGGGAGCAACAGG
rnacentral:rRNA from 1 species